ensembl:lncRNA
UAAAACCAAAACGUUUUUAUUUUUCCUUCUUCUGAUACAAAAGUUUUUUUUAAUAAACAUGUUUUUUAAGGUUUUAGACUCUUUUUUUUUCUACAAAGAUAAAUUAGCAUUUCUUAUAAUACAUUAAAAGACAUCAAACACCUGUUUCUCUUUACAAAAUAGUUCCUUUUCUAAAAGUACUUCACGGAGUUCUGGGGUUGGCAGUACCCAAAGGUCUUAGGUACUAACAGGUUAAAAUCACACUUCAAAAGGCACUUCCUAAACCACACCCUAUUCCUCAUAGUGUUUGACUUGAUCACUAUAUGGGGAAUGAUAAGGUUGCAUUUGAAACCUAUUAACUAGAGUGUUAUACAUUCAGACUCACAGAAACAGAGGACUUGUCUGGUAUAGAGACUGGCAACACAGUAGAGAGACAGGCUGCAGUAACACAGUAGAGAGACAGGCUGCAGUAACACAGUAGAGAAAGAGACAGGCUGCAGUAACACAGUAGAGAGACAGGCUGCAGUAACACAGUAGAGAGACAGGCUGCAGUAACAGAGUAGAGAGAGAGACAGGCUGCAGUAACAGAGUAGAGAGAGAGACAGGCUGCAGUAACAGAGUAGAGAGACAGGCUGCAGUAACAGAGUAGAGAGACAGGCUGCAGUAACAGAGUAGAGAGACAGGCUGCAGUAACACAGUAGAGAGACAGGCUGCAGUAACAGAGUAGAGAGAGAGACAGGCUUCAGUAACAGAGUAGAGGGAGAGACAGGCUGCAGUAACAGAGUAGAGAGAGAGACAGGCUGCAGUAACAGAGUAGGGAGAGAGACAGGCUGCAGUAACAGAGUAGGGAGAGAGACAGGCUGCAGUAACAGAGUAGAGAGAGAGACAGGCUGCAGUAACACAGUAGAGAGACAGGCUGCAGUAACAGAGUAGAGAGAGAGACAGGCUGCAGUAACAGAGUAUAGAGACAGGCUGCAGUAACAGAGUAGAGAGAGAGACAGGCUGCAGUAACAGAGUAGAGAGAGAGACAGGCUGCAGUAACAGAGUAGAGAGAGACAGGCUGCAGUAACAGAGUAGAGAGAGAGACAGGCUGCAGUAACAGAGUAGAGAGAGAGAGAGACAGGCUGCAGUAAUUUGACUGUCUCUCUGCUGUCUCUGUGUUUGACUGUCUCUCUGCUGUGUGUGUUGUGUUUGACUGUCUCUCUGCUGUCUCUGUGUUUGAUGUCUCUCUGCUGUCUCUGUGUUUGACUGUCUCUCUGCUGUGUUUGACUGU